UUGCUUUUUAUAUGCCCGAAAGAAUUUCGGGCAUAUUAUGUUAUACCCCCUGGCGUCCGUCCGUCCGUCCGUCUGUCCGUCCGUCCGUUAGCAAUUUGGUUUCCGGAGCAUAACUUAAGUUCCAUUUGGCCCACAGUAUUCAAACUUCAUAGGAUGAUUGUCCAUAUUGGGUAGAAGACCCCUAUUGAUUUUGGGGUCACAAGGUCAAAGGUCAAGGUCACUAUGACCUUAAAACUGAAAACAGUUUCCGGAGCAUAACUUAAGUUCCAUUUGGCCCACAGUGUUCAAACUUCAUAGGAUGAUUGUCCAUAUUGGGUAGAAGACCCCUAUUGAAUUUGGGGUCACAAGGUCAAGGUCACUAUGACCUUAAAACUGAAAACAGUUUCCGGAGCAUAACUUAAGUUCCAUUUGGUCCACAGUGUUCAAACUUCAUAGUAUGAUCGUCCAUAUUGGGAAAAAGACCCCUAUUAAAUUUGGGGUUACAAGGUCAAAGGUCAAGGUCACUAUGACCUUAAAACUGAAUACAGUUUCCGGAGGAUAACUUUAGUUCCAUUUGGCCCACAGUGUUCAAACUUCAUAGGAUGAUUGUCCAUAUUGGGUAGAAGACCCCUAUUGAUUUUGGGGUCACAAGGUCAAAGGACAAGGUCACUAUUACCUUAAAACUGGAAACAGUAUACGGGACAUAACUUAAGUUCCAUUUGG